UACGGAGGGUGCAAGCGUUAUCCGGAUUCACUGGGUUUAAAGGGUGCGUAGGUGGCGCGUUAAGUCCGUUGUGAAAUCCCUGGGCUCAACCCAGGAAUUGCUUCGGAUACUGGCGUGCUUGAGGCUAGUAGGGGUCACUGGAACUGACGGUGGAGCGGUGAAAUGCGUAGAUAUCGUCAGGAACGCCAAUGGUGAAGACAGGUGACUGGGCUAGUUCUGACACUGAGGCACGAAAGCGUGGGGAGCAAACAGGG
rnacentral:rRNA from 1 species